CUCCUACGGGAGGCAGCAGUGGGGAAUUUUGGACAAUGGGCGAAAGCCUGAUCCAGCAAUGCCGCGUGCAGGAUGAAGGCCUUCGGGUUGUAAACUGCUUUUGUACGGAACGAAAAAGCUUCUCCUAAUACGAGAGGCCCAUGACGGUACCGUAAGAAUAAGCACCGGCUAACUACGUGCCAGCAGCCGCGGUAAUACGUAGGGUGCAAGCGUUAAUCGGAAUUACUGGGCGUAAAGCGUGCGCAGGCGGUUAUGUAAGACAGAUGUGAAAUCCCCGGGCUCAACCUGGGAACUGCAUUUGUGACUGCAUGGCUAGAGUACGGUAGAGGGGGAUGGAAUUCCGCGUGUAGCAGUGAAAUGCGUAGAUAUGCGGAGGAACACCAGUGGCGAAGGCGGUUCUCUGGGCCUUUCCUGACGCUGAGGAGCGAAAGCGUGGGGAGCGAACAGGCUUAGAUACCCUGGUAGUCCACGCUGUAAACGGUGGGUACUAGGUGUGGGGUCCAUUCCACGGGUUCCGUGCCGUAGCUAACGCUUUAAGUACCCCGCCUGGGGAGUACGGCCGCAAGGCUAAAACUCAAAGGAAUUGACGGGGCCCCGCACAAGCGGCGGAGCAUGCGGAUUAAUUCGAUGCAACGCGUAGAACCUUACCAGGACUUGACAUCCCAUAGACCAGUCUAGAGAUAGACUCUCCCUUCGGGGCUGUGGUGACAGGUGGUGCAUGGUUGUCGUCAGCUCGUGUCGUGAGAUGUUGGGUUAAGUCCCGCAACGAGCGCAACCCUUACUUUGUGUUGCCAGCAUUCAGUUGGGCACUCACAAGGGACUGCCGCCGAUAAGGCGGAGGAAGGUGGGGAUGACGUCAAGUCCUCAUGGCCCUUACGCGCUGGGCUACACACGUGCUACAAUGGCGGUGACAGUGGGCAGCAAACUCGCGAGAGUGCGCUAAUCUCCAAAAGCCGUCUCAGUUCGGAUUGUUCUCUGCAACUCGAGAGCAUGAAGGCGGAAUCGCUAGUAAUCGCGGAUCAGCAUGCCGCGGUGAAUACGUUCCCAGGCCUUGUACACACCGCCCGU
rnacentral:rRNA from 1 species